rnacentral:rRNA from 1 species
GUCGAGUGCGCGCCCGUAGCAAUACGGGUGGCGCACGGCGCACGGGUGCGUAACACGUGGGUACCUGCCCUUUGAUGGGGAAUAACCCCGCGAAAGCGGGGCUAAUUCCGCAUAAGAUCCGUAAGGAUGAAAGCCGAAAGGCGUCGAAGGAGGGGCCUGCGCACGAUUAGCUAGUUGGUAGGGUAACGGCCUACCAAGGCUUUGAUCGUUAGCUGGUCUGAGAGGAUGGCCAGCCACACUGGAACUGAGACACGGUCCAGACUCCUACGGGAGGCAGCAGUGGGGAAUCUUGCACAAUGGGCGAAAGCCUGAUGCAGCGACGCCGCGUGGGGGAUGAAGCUUCUCGGAGUGUAAACCCCUUUCGACCCGGACGAAUACCUCGCAAGAGGGGUGACGGUACGGGUAUAAGAAGCCCCGGCUAACUACGUGCCAGCAGCCGCGGUAAGACGUGGGGGGCCAGCGUUGCUCGGAAUUACUGGGUGUAAAGGGUCAGUAGGCGGUGUGGCAAGUCGGGAGUGAAAUCUCUGGGCUUAACUCAGAGACUGCUUCCGAAACUGCUGUGCUUGAGUGUGGGAGAGGCGCGUGGAAUUGCAGGUGUAGCGGUGAAAUGCGUAGAUAUCUGCAGGAACACCCGUGGCGAAAGCGGCGCGCUGGACCACAACUGACGCUGAAUGACGAAAGCUAGGGGAGCAAACAGGAUUAGAUACCCUGGUAGU